CUUAUUCAACAAAGAGUCCACUCUUCAAAUCCGUGUGUCUCCAUUUGGAGAUAGGGAAGUUGUGUGGGACCAUGCCAAAGGCUUAAUAGAAGUCUAGGUAGAUGACAUCAGUCAUUCUUCCCUUGUAACUAUUGCAGUCACUUUAUCAUAGAAGGCCACCAGAUUGUUGAGAUCUUGCUUGUGUUUUAUUCAUAAGUAAUGAAAGAGCAAAGGAAGAACUUAAGAGACUAGAAAGAAAACGGUUGUCCCAUCAUGGUCUUAGAAGUUCAACUUUAGUCUUCUUUCAGUAACCUCACCUGACAAGACAGGACAGGGGUUUGCUAUCCAGCAAGAAGUUUGCAAAUUGGAGCAGAUAAAAGCUACUAUCGAAUGCUUCAACACAUAUAAGAAAUAAAUAAACCAAGG